CUGACCAGCUGCACUGUGAUCUGUUUCAAUGAGAAACACGUAAGUAAUAUUUUUUUAAAGUAAUUUUUUAAAAGUGGUCAUUUUGUCAGAGUGUAUGAACGACUGUUUAUUUACCCUUACUAUGUCCAACAGAUGAAUGACCUCAUUAAUCUGAUAAAGCCAACGCUGUCAUUGGAUUACAGCCUCCUCAAAAACAUUGAUUUUGUCACUGAUGUCAUGGUGCCAGAGACCACAAUUGACAUCCUGGUGAGACUAGAAGGUUUUUCAAGAUUUUAUGCCGAGAAAAUCCUCGGAACGAUCAUCGAGUGAUCAGACGUCCCAUGGGGUGAUGUGGCAGCUGCAGUUUAGUUCCUUAUGCUCAGUUCAUGCAUUCAUACAACAUACAUUACAUCUUACACACAUGCACAUCGUACACUACUGAUAGUACUGAUGUUCACAUCCCAUUUAUUCAUUAUUUUCCUUGUUUCACAUUUUGUUCCUUUUGUUAAUAAAUCUACUUUGUUACA